UACGAAGGGGGCUAGCGUUGUUCGGAAUUACUGGGCGUAAAGCGCGCGUAGGCGGAUAUUUAAGUCAGGGGUGAAAUCCCGGGGCUCAACCCUGGAACUGCCUUUGAUACUGGAUAUCUGGAGUUCGGGAGAGGUGAGUGGAAUUCCGAGUGUAGAGGUGAAAUUCGUAGAUAUUCGGAGGAACACCAGAGGCGAAGGCGGCUCACUGGCCCGAUACUGACGCUGAGGCGCGAAAGCGUGGGGAGCAAACAGG
rnacentral:rRNA from 1 species